rnacentral:rRNA from 1 species
CCUCGGGAAGGCAGCAGUGGGGAAUAUUGGACAAUGGGGGCAACCCUGAUCCAGCAAUGCCGCGUGCGUGAAGAAGGCCUUAGGGUUGUAAAGCGCUUUCGCCCGCGACGAUGAUGACGGUAGCGGGAGAAGAAGCCCCGGCUAACUCCGUGCCAGCAGCCGCGGUAAUACGGAGGGGGCGCGCGUUGUUCGGAAUUACUGGGCGUAAAGGGCGCGUAGGCGGCCUUGUCAGUCAGGCGUGAAAGCCCCGGGCUCAACCUGGGAUGUGCGCUUGAUACUGCAAGGCUUGAGACCGGAAGAGGAUGGCGGAAUACCCAGUGUAGAGGUGAAAUUCGUAGAUAUUGGGUGGAACACCAGUGGCGAAGGCGGCCAUCUGGUCCGGAUCUGACGCUGAGGCGCGAAAGCGUGGGGAGCAAACAGGAUUAGAUACCCUGGUAGUCCACGCCGUAAACGAUGUGCGCUAGACGUCGGGAGUUAGGCUCUCGGUGUCGCAGCUAACGCA